CACGUAGGAGGCGAGCGUUAUCCGGAUUUACUGGGCGUAAAGCGCGUGUAGGCGGCUCGGAAAGUUGGAUGUGAAAGCUCCUGGCUUAACUGGGAGAGGUCGUUCAAAACUUCCGGGCUUGAGAGUGGUAGAGGGAGGUGGAAUUCCGAGUGUAGUGGUGAAAUGCGUAGAUAUUCGGAGGAACACCAGUGGCGAAAGCGGCCUCCUGGCCCAUUUCUGACGCUCAGACGCGAAAGCUAGGGUAGCAAACGGGAUUAGAGACCCCGGUAGUCCUAGCUGUAAACGAUGUAGACUUGGCGUCGGCGGGUUCAAAUCCGUCGGUGCCGAAGCAAACGCGAUAAGUCUACCGCCUGGGGACUACGGCCGCAAGGUUAAA
rnacentral:rRNA from 1 species